GCGGUGGCUCAGUGGUACAGCACUCGCCUGGCAUGUGUGAGGCCCUGGGUUCGAUCCCCAGCACCGCA
rnacentral:tRNA from 1 species